CCUACGGGAGGCAGCAGUGAGGAAUAUUGGUCAAUGGACGAGAGUCUGAACCAGCCAAGUCGCGUGAGGGAAGACUGCCCUAUGGGUUGUAAACCUCUUUUGUCAGGGAGCAACGCCGGCUACGUGUAGCCGGACUGAGAGUACCUGAAGAAAAAGCAUCGGCUAACUCCGUGCCAGCAGCCGCGGUAAUACGGAGGAUGCGAGCGUUAUCCGGAUUUAUUGGGUUUAAAGGGUGCGUAGGCGGACUGGAAAGUCAGCGGUAAAAUCGAGAGGCUCAACCUCUUUCCGCCGUUGAAACUGUCGGUCUUGAGUGGGCGAGAAGUAUGCGGAAUGCGUGGUGUAGCGGUGAAAUGCAUAGAUAUCACGCAGAACUCCGAUUGCGAAGGCAGCAUACCGGCGCCCGACUGACGCUGAGGCACGAAAGCGUGGGUAUCGAACAGGAUUAGAUACCCCUGUAGUC
rnacentral:rRNA from 1 species